AAAAACGACUCUCGGCAACGGAUAUCUCGGCUCUCGCAUCGAUGAAGAACGUAGCGAAAUGCGAUACUUGGUGUGAAUUGCAGAAUCCCGUGAACCAUCGAGUCUUUGAACGCAAGUUGCGCCCGAGGCCUUCUGGCCGCAAGCGUCUGUCUGGGCGUCACGC
rnacentral:rRNA from 1 species